AUACGUAGGGUGCGAGCGUUGUCCGGAAUUACUGGGUGUAAAGGGAGCGUAGGCGGGAGUGCAAGUCAGAUGUGAAAUACAUGGGCUCAACCCAUGGGCUGCAUUUGAAACUGUGGUUCUUGAGUGAGGUAGAGGUAAGCGGAAUUCCUAGUGUAGCGGUGAAAUGCGUAGAUAUUAGGAGGAACAUCGGUGGCGAAGGCGGCUUACUGGGCCUUUACUGACGCUGAGGCACGAAAGCGUGGGGAGCAAACAGGAUUAGAUACCCUGGUAGUCCACGCUGUAA
rnacentral:rRNA from 1 species